rnacentral:rRNA from 1 species
UCCAGACUCCUACGGGAGGCAGCAGUGGGGAAUAUUGCACAAUGGGGGAAACCCUGAUGCAGCAACGCCGCGUGAGUGAAGAAGUAUUUCGGUAUGUAAAGCUCUAUCAGCAGGGAAGAAGAUGACGGUACCUGACCAAGAAGCCCCGGCUAACUACGUGCCAGCAGCCGCGGUAAUACGUAGGGGGCAAGCGUUAUCCGGAUUUACUGGGUGUAAAGGGAGCGCAGACGGCAGUGCAAGUCUGGAGUGAAAGCCCGGGGCCCAACCCCGGGACUGCUCUGGAAACUGCGUCGCUGGAGUACGGGAGGGGCAGGCGGAAUUCCUAGUGUAGCGGUGAAAUGCGUAGAUAUUAGGAGGAACACCAGUGGCGAAGGCGGCCUGCUGGACGACAACUGACGGUGAGGCGCGAAAGCGUGGGGAGCAAACAGGAUUAGAUACCCCAGUA